rnacentral:rRNA from 1 species
GAUGAACGCUGACAGAAUGCUUAACACAUGCAAGUCUUUGGCGAAGCUGUGCUUGCACAGCCUAGCCAAGGCGGACGGGUGAGUAACGCGUAAGGAACUUGCCCUGCAGUCAGGGAUAACAGACGGAAACGACUGAUAAGACCUGGUAAAGUCAGGCGGACUCAUGUCCAGCCUGAUGAAAAGAGAUGCUGCAGGAGAGCCUUGCGUCCCAUUAGCUUGUUGGUGGGGUAACGGCCCACCAAGGCGAUGAUAGGUAGCCGGCCUGAGAGGGUGGACGGCCACAAGGGGACUGAGAUACGGCCCUUACUCCUACGGGAGGCAGCAGUGGGGAAUAUUGGACAAUGGGGGCAACCCUGAUCCAGCAAUUCUGUGUGCACGAUGAAGGUUUUCGGAUUGUAAAGUGCUUUCAGCAGGGAAGAAAAAAAUGACGGUACCUGCAGAAGAAGCGACGGCUAAAUACGUG